AAAGGCUGUUUCACUCUCUCAUACUCACAAGUCACAACACAAAAACCUUUCCAUUUUCCCUCCCUCUCACAUAACCUUUCCAUUUCUCUAUCGCUCACAGAAUCUUUCCAUUGCACAGUUUCUCCAGAUUUAUCCUCCGUACUGCACAAAUGGGGUUUUAUGUUAUUUUUCUAUGAAUCUCUGCUUAUGAUGUCUCAGAGCGAGGAUUUUUCAUAUGAUGACUACGACUCAGCUGAGGAUAGUGUCUAUAGGCCGUCCCCUGAAGUUGAAAUUGAUUCUGAAGAAACACCGAAUGACAUUCAUAUUGACGUGAAUAACAAAGGAAAGUCUAAGGUUGUUGCAGAAGGAACUCAAAAGAAUAAGAAAAAGAGGGCAAUUAGAGAGGAUUUUGGAGUUCAUGUGAAAGUCUCUCAUAUGUUGAAGCUUAUGAGUACUUAAAAAGAGAAUUUGGAGUUCAUGUGGAUGACUCUAAAAUUUCCAGAGCACUCAAAGAAGCAAAGGAAAUUGUUAGUGAGAUUGAACAAUACGCAAGAAUUUGGGAUAAUGCACAUGAGCUUUAAAGAAGUAAUGAUGGAUCAGCAAUUAAAGUUGAUACAAUUCCAAUUCGAGAGUCUUGGUGAAGUAUUCAAUGCCUAAAGAGGCUUGGACCAAGGCCCACUUCGGUGAAUUUUGUAAGGUAGACAAUGCUAAAAUACUGAAGAACAUAGGGGUAAGUAAGCCUAUUUUGACUUUGGCAGAGGAGAUACGAUGUUAUUAUGUUUUGAGGACAAUGACUAAUAAUCGGUUGAAGCUGCAAGGAAAAGUUGGUAUUCUAUGUCCAGCUCAACAAGCUAGUUGGAGAAGGAGAAACUAGAGAGCAACAAAUGGACAAGUCAUUUGGCAGGAGAUGUGCCUGGAUUUCGGUUUGAAAUUCAUCGACCACAACCUAAAGUAGAUGUUGGUUUGCAACUUGCUACUUGUAGUUGCAGGUUUUGACAACUUACAGAUAUCUGUUGGAAGAAUGAAAAUCCAGAGGAGUGCUGUAAUGGUUGGCUUGGUUUAGCAUCCUACAAUGCAUCUUAUGAAUUUUUUAUCCAACCUGUGUGAGGAGAAAUGUAUUGGGAGCCUACUUCAUUUACAAAGCCUGUACCACCAAGGGUGAAAAGAAGUGCUGGUAGGCCCAAGAAAAAUAGGAGGAGGGAUGCAACUGAAAUACCGGCUGGUUCUGGUAAGGUGAAGUGGACUUUGCCUGAUUUUCAAUGCACUCGGUGUGGUUUUCUUGCCGCAACCAAGGAGUUCCCAUCAAACCCAAGAGGUGGAAACUACUAACUAUAGCUGGAACUAAUCCAGCUACAAAUGCAAACUGAGGGCGCCAAGGAGAGGGUGGACAUGUAGCUGAAGCUGUGCAGAUUGCAACUGAGGUUGAUGUUACUCAAAACCAGCUUUGUCAUCGACUCACAGGAACUUGACAUAGAACAUGUGCAGACCCAAGAUCUGCAUCUUCAAGUGGUUUGUUAUAUUUACCUAUGUUUAUAAUUCAACAUGUUUAUUUAUUUAUCUUGAUGCUCAAAUAAGCCAUCAUAUAUCUCAUGUGUAUUAUGUUGAUGUAGGGAGUUGGGCUAAGGUACAAAAUGGGAAUUUUAUUGUGUCAAUUUAAUGGCGCUUUGUGCCUUUUGGAUGUUAAUGGCUUAAUGCCUUUUGGAUCUUAUUUUGAAUGUUGCUUAAUGCCUUUAUAUAUCUCCAA